AAAAGACUCCAAUCAAUUAACUCAAGGUCACUGUGGCUAACUUAAAUUUGAUCGAGUCCUGUAAAUAAAAUCAUUGAGUCAGAAAGCUAGCCAAGUCAGGUUUCUACCACCACCUUUGCACACCCUUGGAGCACCACCUCGGCAUCCACAUCAACAUCAGCUAGCCACCUCACCACCACUCCAACCAAUGGAAGCACGCCAACCAGGAUGAAGUCAAGCAUAAGGAGCCGACCACAUCAUGCCAUCUCAUCAAAAGAACCAAUGCGACGUCAUGCCACCUCAUCAGAAGAACCAAUCCCUAUGCAACAUGUUAUGUGCCACCUAUUG
rnacentral:lncRNA from 1 species